ensembl:lncRNA
UUGACUUAUCUGACUGUUUUGUUUCGCUUAAUGUGCCUUGUAAUCUGGCGCACCUUAUGGUCCGAAAAAUACGUCUCACUCAGCCUGGCUCUGCAUCUCCUUCCUGCUUUUCUGGAACACAAGGCCAAAAUAAAUUAAGUUCAGUCUGAGAUUUGGCCUGAACACGCUGCACUACAAGACUGCGGGCGAGAACUCGAACUCACACAUCUGCUGGGAGUUCAUGGGAUCUGCAGAUAAUUAGACACACUUUUCAGUCCACGCACUCGUUGGGGCUUCAGAGACUCCAAUAUUCUCCGGUCACGUCCUUGUUGGUGGAGCAAGUGUAACAUCUUCCCCCUGCUUUACAUAGGAGGUCAG